CCCCAGACAGCACAUGUACGUCUGGCCGACGUCGGCCCAAUAUCGAAACGUCGGCCUCUAUACCUAAAACAUCUAUAACACAUCGGCCUGGCGGAGGCCGAUAUAAUUUGGUCAGUGCUCUGUUCUCCAGCUCAUCAGUCGUCGGCCCUGAGUUGGUUCACGACCGCGGGCCGAUGCCGCGCUUAUCUGUGUGCGCGUGCCCAGUAUUCGUCUCUUUUAGCCACCCAGAGAGAGAGAAGAGGAUAAUCCCAGCGACAUCUGUGGCUCUGAGGCUUCCAGAAAUAAUCCGGUGAAAUAAUAUGGUGAGCUAUUGUUGCUGUUGCUUCUGAACUACAAAAUGAUUUUUAAAUGUAUUAUUGAAUGAGACUGUACAUUAUAAAUGUAAUGCUUUAACUCUAGAUGUUUGUUUGUGUGAAUGCUGUGUGUGCGGUGAGUCCUGCGCGAGCGGUGAGCAGAGUUGCCAUGGAAACGGGGCGUCAACACAAAAACCGUUACUGGCAAACAGUAAUCUCCGUCUCUCGCUGCAGUUUACACUGUUUUAGGUAAGUUUAGUGUCUAAAAUCACACAAAUAUUACAUACAAAUGUUCCUGACGCGUUUCUUACUUGUUAUUGACAUGUUUCAAUUAAAUGUAUUUUAUAGAAACGGUUUAGUGUCUUCGGAAAAGUCCGUUAUCAUUUUAGCAGUUUUCAGGUAACGUUAGGCUAACUCUAUAGACUGAGCUCUUGUUGAUGAAACUCUGGGCUUUUAAUCAAAUCUUCGAUUUGAUUAAAACAAAAUGAUUUUUAAAUUAAUUAUUGAACGAGACUGUACAUUAUAAAUGUAAUGUUUUAACUCUAGAUGUUUGUUUGUGUAAAUGUUGUGUGUGCGGUGAGUUCUGCGCGAGCGGGGAGCAGAGUUGCCAUGGAAACGGGGCGUCAACACAAAAACCGUUACUGGCAAACAGUAAUCUCCGUCUCUCGCUGCAGUUUACACUGUUUUAGAAACGGUUUAUUUUCUUCGGAAAAGUCCGUUAGCAUUUUAGCAGUUUUCAGGAGGACAGAAAGAAACUCUACAGAACAGAGGUGAAGCUCCAAGAUUUCAACAUUUAUGAAGGGAGAUUCUGACUUAGAAAUACAGGUGACCUGAAGAAGCUCAUGAAAAACAUGAAUAUGCCUUUUUCAGAAUACAUUUCACCAAUUUUAAGAAGUCCCUGACUUCAUAACCUUGUUUCCUUCUAAUGAACCUGGAACUGCAGAGUAAAUAUUGUUGACUCUGUGUCAGAUUGCUUGUUUUGUUCCUGGACUCUUCAGUGAUGACGAUCAGAGUCUGAGUGAACCUGCUGUCAGACAGGUUGGCCUGAUUGACGAUGCCAUCGUCCAUCGCCGAUGGCUGAUAGACAUUACGAUGCUGCGCCGGAAACAGCGUCAUCAGCUCCAGUAUCUCGCCCGUGCAUCUGUUGUCAUGUGACAGAGAAGUCACGUUCUAUAGACAGUUUCUAUAGACAGUUGUGAGGGUGCUGACAGCUGGUUGCCCAGGCUAUGGAUUAAAGGUAAUACUGUUGGCCAGCAGAGCCCUGCUCACCCUGACGGCCCACCGCUGCUGUCAGACAACAUCUCCAAGAUGCUAUAAACUGCAGGACUAGAUGGCCAUCCCAAGGUUUCUAGAGAUUACACCAGCUCCAAACUGAAUCCAAACUCACUUUUGAAGACUUCAGAUGACACCAACGCUCACAAAGACUACAACUGUACAUGAACACACAAAACAUUGGACACACAAAACAAUUAUUAUCCUUAUUUUGCCUAUAAGGGUAAAUUUGAUGAUUUUCAAACUGCUUUAUUGUAACGUCUCUUAUAUCUGUAAAUGAACAAUAUUUACUCUCUGAGUUAUGUGGACCUACAUGUCCCCUUUUAUUUGUAAGCAUCACUUUAAAAAUGUUGAAAGAUAAUGUUAAUGUUAACUGAAUACAAAACUAGACUUGUUUAGUAAAAUUUUAUCAGAAAAUAUUUUUGAACUUUUAUCAUGCAAUUUAAAACAUUUUAAUUGCUUAAUUAGGAAACACUUUAGAAUAAGGUUCCAUUAGUUAAUGUUAGUUAAUGUAUUAAUUAACAUGAACAAACAAUGAAUAAUACAUUUAUUACUGUAUUUAUUCAUCUUCGUUAAUGUUAGUUAAUGAAAAUACAGUUAUUCAUUGUUAGUUCAUGGUAAUUCACAGUGCAUUAACUAAUGUUAACAAGCACAACUUUUGAUUUAAAUAAUGCAUUAGUAAAUGUUGAAAUUAACAUGAACUAAGACUUAUAAAUGCUGUAGAAGGAUUGUUCUUGCUUAGUUCAUGUUAACGAAAGUAGUUAACUAACAUUAACUACUGGAACCUUAUUCUAAAGUGUUACCCUUAAUUAUUGUUUACCUGGUUUUAUUUUGUGUUUAUGUAACUUUUUAAAAAGUUCUUGGCAUAAAGUUUGUAUGCGAUGCUGACAGCACUGAACACAUGACUUUUUAUUAUGAACUAGAUGGUCUUCCCAGUGAGUCUCAGUCAUCUCUGGCUUUUUAAACUGUAACCUUGAAACUUGCAUUUCCUGUAAACCUACUUUGAAAUAAGUAUUGUCAAAAGGUGCUAUACUCAAACAACAUUUAACCAUGCAAGUACUGUAGUAAUGGUUAUUUUUGUUUUUACUAUGGUUUUACUGCAAAAGCUGUAGUAAAAUCAUGGUUAAUGUUCAAAAGACUACAAAUAAUCCCGAAUUAUCCACUUUUGAUCAAAGCAUCUGGUAAAUGUUAUUGUAUUUGUACAUGUAAUAUGAAAUAAAUGAAAAUAUUAAUAAAGUUGCGUCUGUUCUUGA